GGGGGUGAGAAACUCGGCUCACUGUGCCCGGCACACUUUUCUGCACAGCACCGCACUUCUGGGCACACUUCCUAUAUUUUUUUUUUCUGCAGGAUUAGAUUUGACAGCUAAAACUUUGUUGUUGUUCGCCCCGGCUCAACAAGCUUGUUUGAGUCGAAACAAAUCGCAAUGAACACUGCCAUCGAGAACGAGAUAUUCAAAGCAAAUAGCUUCCUAAACAUUUCCAAAAUCUUCUGUCUGAACAAAAAAUCCAGGUUGACCAGCAAUUUGUCAAACUAUGAAACUUCAUAAAUGCCCAUCGGAACUUUCCGAAUUGGUGAAUCUCCUGCUAUACCGUCCAAUGGAAGGGACCGUCGAGGGGACUAUAAUUGACGACCAACGAUCGUGUUACUCCAUAAGCAUGCUACUUUGCUAUGAAAGAUUCAGCCCUGUACGGCUGCGCUUAGUAGGUCUCCGCCCUGGUCUCCGCUGAUAAUGAAGCAGAAAACCGAAAGAGACAGGCAGAGGAACAACAGGCAUCCGGUUUAUCCCGCGGGAAAGAAAAUAAAGACAGAUACGUGCUAAUAUGUGGCGGGAGAGAGUAAAUCCGCUGCUAGUAAAGGCAAAGCAACUGAGGAAGAAGUUACGGAGGAGUUGGCAAAUUAUCUCGCGAAAAACAUGUGUUAGUAAUUGAUAAGAUUAGUUUCUGAUCGUUAAUAAAUAAUUAUUCAAAAUAUUAAUACUAACAAAUUCAACCUUACGUUCAAGAUGCCAUUAAUAGCUAGACAACAGAUUUUUAUUAUUGAUUUGCUGAAAAACAUUAGCAGCGCCAUGCUACGGUCACGUACCAUCUCGUAAACGAUCUCUCAGCUGUCUCGAUCGCUUCUUGUCUGGUGAUAUCCAUAGUACCCUCGUCAGGUCAAUGCUUAGCUCAUCGGUGCCGGAGGCAUUGUAGAUUGGCAAGA